GAGCAAAAAAUAUUUUUACAAUUCUGAAUUGGAUAAUACGGACAGUGGCGCGUUAUCCCCUCGAAAAGCACGUGCACCUCACGUGACAACCGCCAUUCAUACAUCCUAUUUAAAUAUGAUUUUCUAACGUAACGGAACACACCGACCGUAAUCCGCUGCGCUGACAAUUCCAAGCUUUCCCCUUUUAGGAGACAAUUCUAAUUUAUGGAUAAAAUUGAAUCUGGAAAGGAGGUUUCUGAAGAGUUGACUCGGGAAUCACUUAUUGCCAUCUCUUACACAGCACCAGAGAAGGAAGCUGCUGCUAGAAACUCAAAUGAAAACCUAACAGGAGAGAAUGUGGUUGCUGCUACAAAAGUUGAUGGAAAUGAUACAUAUAGGUCUAAACUGAUCUCAAUAUCUUAUACAGAGUCACCAGACGCUAAAACACUACCAGUUCUUCCUGGUAAAAAUUGAGGUUCGGUUGGACUACAGGUUUCAUAAGACAGCUACUUUGCAACACUUUUAAUGUGGUGUUACAGUUAAGAUACAAUACUGGACUGUGGAUGCAAGUUCUGUGUACUUGUAAGCUAAAUGUUUAUCACUUUUCGUUAACCAGCAUUCCGAUAAUUGCGAUCCUGUGUAUAGACAUUUCAAUGAUAUGCAUGACGACUUUGUCCUUGAUUUGUGGAAUGUUUUA